rnacentral:rRNA from 1 species
AACGCGAAGAACCUUACCUGGGUUUGACAUGCACCAGACAUCCCUAGAGAUAGGGCUUCCCUUGUGGUUGGUGUGCAGGUGGUGCAUGGUUGUCGUCAGCUCGUGUCGUGAGAUGUUGGGUUAAGUCCCGCAACGAGCGCAACCCUUGUUCCAUGUUGCCAGCGGGUAAUGCCGGGGACUCAUGGGAGACUGCCGGGGUCAACUCGGAGGAAGGUGGGGAUGACGUCAAAUCAUCAUGCCCCUUAUGUCCAGGGCUUCACACAUGCUACAAUGGCCAGUACAGAGGGCUGCGAGACCGUGAGGUGGAGCGAAUCUCUUAAAGCUGGUCUCAGUUCGGAUUGGGGUCUGCAACUCGACCCCAUGAAGUUGGAGUCGCUAGUAAUCGCAGAUCAGCAACGCUGCGGUGAAUACGUUCCCGGGCCUUGUACACACC